rnacentral:rRNA from 1 species
UACGAACUGUGCGAACGUUAUUCGGAAUCACUGGGCUUACAGGGUGCGUAGGCGGCUAUUCAGGGCAGGUGUGAAAGCCCUCGGCUCAACCGAGGAACUGCGCUUGAAACCGGAUGGCUCGAGUCAGCUAGAGGUACACGGAACUUCCAGUGGAGCGGUGAAAUGUGUUGAUAUUGGAAGGAACACCGGAGGCGAAAGCGGUGUACUGGGGCUGGUCUGACGCUGAGGCACGAAAGCCAGGGGAGCGAACGGG